GAAGUCUUCAGUUAAUCCAAGUAAUCAUGCUAUGUGCAUGGGAGAGAGAAAACCUGAAUCUUUUUCUGGCUGCCUUACUGAGUGCUAUAAAUUGUCCUCCAACACAUGUAGGGAGAGCAGAGCCAAAAUUUCCACAGAAGGACUCCAACCAGGAAACUCUGGAUGUGCUUCUUUUUUCAGAGAACGACUCUGGCUUUCAGGCCCCCUUGCCAAUCCCACACCCAUGGAGGACCCUUGACUAAUAGUUGUUUUUAAGGAGUCUUUGUUGAUUUCAAACAGAAACUAAAAUGCAACCCAAGGACUCAGAUGAGAGCAGAACUUCUAGAAAGUGAGUCGAAAGCAAAGGAGCGCAUAUACUCUCUGCUGCAAAGGCUUCUGAGAAGGAGAAGUCAAGAGUUUGAUGUCUUUGUCAUCCCUGCUCGGGCAGCAGGAUACUUUCCCAGAGGCCAUGGAGACAGGACGCCUAGGUGCCCAAGCACUGCAGAGAUGGAUUCCAGUGGGAGAUGCCAAAACUCAUUUUUCUGGCUGCAGUUCUCGGACAAGACUUGACCUCUUCCAGUUGGGACUCCCUGCAGCAAAUCACAUUACACAGCUGUGCCUUUAGAACAAUGAGACACACCUAGAGGAUCAGACCAGGAUGCCAAGAAAAUGUCCACACAGAGAAACAGUAAACACUCUGACAUCAUAUGAACUGAUUGGCUUCCUAUAUUCUGAGGUCUUUUUAUAGAGAUUUCACUCAGAUAAAAAUGCAAGCCGCUGAACCAUAUGCCUAAGUGUUUUCUCUACGCUGCUGGCCUGAGCAGCUGGCAAAACACGAUCUAGGACUGAUAAACUAUCCUGACAAAAGCACUUCAGAGAGGUCUGCAGGCUGGGGUCUGAAAGAGGUCUGAAUUUUAAAAAGGUACUAAUUGCUCAAAGGAUGGAACAGUUCCUCCGAAAUCUAACCCGGUACCUUAAUAGAACCCAUUAAGGCACUGUGAGAAUCAUAGAGAGAAAACAUGUCCCCAGUAAGGAAGGAUGACGUGGAAACGCACUGACCAGGACUUUUCAGGCACCGAUGAAUCCUUCAAGAACUGAAAGAAAAACUUGAUUUUAGCAACUGAGCAAGAAACAAAGGUGCGAAAGUCGAUCACAGAGGAACUAUUAGAGAUAAGGUUAAGGGUCUCUGUGCAAACGUGGAUGUCUGUGACCUCCAUCCUCCCAGCAGAUGUUGCCAAGGUCUGUUGGGAAGCCUGGGGGGGCGGGCAGUGCCCAAAGGGUGGGAAGGCAUGGCUUAGUCACACACUUGUGACCUCUGACCCUCCAGAGAGAGUAUGAGCUCCACAGCUGGGCCUGGCCUGCUCCUUUGGCACCUGCGGUGUGGAUUUCAUAUCAACAGUUGAUCGCUGUUUGACAGGACUUUAUUAAACAUACAGAACCCUACAUUACUGGGCAGUGAAUCCAAAGGAGGACUGAACCAAUCAGGGCUGAGGACUUGGGUGCCUGCUGCCAUGUUUUAUCUCAUCCCACUGCCUCCGCACCAGGGAUCUCAAUAAUUUCGGGCUCUCUGAUGAUGGCCUCUCAUCCCUAUGUUU
rnacentral:lncRNA from 1 species